rnacentral:rRNA from 1 species
UUUUAAUAUAUCUAGUUUUUUAAGAAAUAAAUUUAAUUUAGAUAAUUUAUUUUAUUAGUUUAAUUUAAUAAGCUAAUAUAAUAAAUUAUUAAUAUUUUAAGGGAUGAGCUUUAAAAUAAAAUUUUAUAAAUAACAAUAAUUAAGUAAUAAUUGUAAGCUUAGAAUUAGCUAUCAAUAGAAAUUAUGUUUUAAUUUAUUUUUUAAUUAAUAUUAUUUAUUAUUUAUUUUAAAUUUUUUAUUAAAAUAUAAAUUUUAAUUUUAUAAAUUUAUUAAUAAUGAUAAAAUUAGUAAAUAUAUUUAAUUGUAUAAAUAAAUCAUUAUUUGAUUGGUUUUUAUAAUUAAUUCGGCAAAUUUUGUGCUCACCUGUUUAUCAAAAACAUGUCUUUUUGGUUAUUUAAUAUAAAGUCUGACCUGCCCACUGAAUUUAUUUUGAAGGGCCGCAGUAUUUUGACUGUGCAAAGGUAGCAUAAUCAUUAGUCUUUUAAUUGAAGGCUGGUAUGAAUGGUUGGAUGAGGUACAAGCUGUGUCAUAAAAAUUAAUAGUUGAAUUUACCUUUUUAGUCAAAAGGCUAAAAUGAAAUUAAAAGACGAGAAGACCCUAUAGAGCUUUAUAUAAUUUAUAUUUAAAUUAUUAAGAUUUUUUAAAUUUAAUUAUUAUUUUGUAUUUUGUUGGGGUGACAAUAAAAUUUAUAAAACUUUUAUUUUUAAUUUACAUUUAUUUAUGGUUACAUGAUCCAGUUUUAUUGAUUAUAAAUUUAAGUUACCUUAGGGAUAACAGCGUAAUUUUUUUUGAGAGUUCUUAUCGACAAAAAAGAUUGCGACCUCGAUGUUGGAUUAAGAGUAAUUUUGGGUGUAGAAGUUCAAAGUUUAAGUCUGUUCGACUUUUAAAUUCUUACAU